rnacentral:ncRNA from 1 species
UGUCUAAAUGGAUAGUUAUUGUAAAAUAACCGUUUAGGGAGAAGUACCUUUACUCUGUCCGAUAACAAGGAUAAAAUAAGGUAGAUCUGUGUGUGUCAAAAGGGAAACAGCCCAGAACAAGUGUUUAAGGUUCCAAAGUUUUUGUUAAGUGAAAGUAAGGAAGUAUUUAAACUAUACAACCAGGAAAUAGGCUUAGAAGCGGCCAUUUUUUAAAGACCUCGUAACAGAGCACUGGUUCAAAUGGUUAAUUCGUUAACCUAAUUAGUUAAAAGCGCCGAAGAUAUAACGGAUCUAAAACAAAACACCGACACCUUGUCCAUAAUAAUAAUAUUAGGU